rnacentral:rRNA from 1 species
UACGUAGGGUGCGAGCGUUAAUCGGAAUUACUGGGCGUAAAGCGUGCGCAGGCGGUUUUGUAAGCCAGAUGUGAAAUCCCCGGGCUUAACCUGGGAAUGGCAUUUGGGACUGCAAGGCUCGAGUGCGGCAGAGGGGGAUGGAAUUCCGCGUGUAGCAGUGAAAUGCGUAGAUAUGCGGAGGAACACCGAUGGCGAAGGCAAUCCCCUGGGCCUGUACUGACGCUCAUGCACGAAAGCGUGGGGAGCAAACAGG